CACCGCGGUUAUACGAGAGGCCCAAGCUGACAGCCAUCGGCGUAAAGCGUGGUUAAACCAAAAACUAUAAUAAAGCCGAACACCUUCUCAACUGUUAUACGCACUCGAAGGUCAGAAGCCCUACUACGAAAGUGGCUUUAAAACAUUGAACCCACGAAAGCUAAGACA
rnacentral:rRNA from 1 species